rnacentral:tRNA from 1 species
GAGGGUAUAGCUUAGUGGGAGAGCAUGUGCUUAGCAUGCUGAAGGUCCUGGGUUCAAUCCCCAGUACCUCCA